rnacentral:lncRNA from 1 species
GACUUGCAUUGCAUAUAUCUGAGUGUGAUCACACAUGGAUAGCUCCAAGGUUUUGGUUUCCUUUGUUGUUCUUUUUGUUCUUGUCUUACCUUCACAUGUCUUUACGCAUGAAUUGAAAAAGGGUGAGUCUUCUCUUUCCUUAUUUCAUCACCAAUAACCCAAAGUAUAUGCUUUCCACUUUCCAUAUUAUUAUCUUUGUAUAUUCUUUUUUCUGAUUUAUUAUUAUUAUUAUUAUUAUUAUUAUUAUUAUUAUUAUUAUUAUUAUUAUUAAGCAUAAAAUUGAUUCCCCCAUUAAUUGUUAAUUAUUAGUGCAAAAAAUUGCCAUUUUAAAGUGAUAAAAUAUAUAUUUUUAAUCUCUAAUUAAAAAAUUUUAAAGACAGCUGCAAUAUCUAUUUGUAUAAAUAUUUUUUUUCUAUAUCCAUCAUAAGAGAGAAUUUUAGGACAUGAUGAUGCUAUGUUGAAGGCUCAUGAUGAUGAUGGGUUAUUGAAAGAUUUAACAAGUGAUUCAGUUGAUUAAUAUCUCUAUAAUUUAGAAUGGACAAUUCAUCAUUAUAUUCUUCUAUAUAUGUUAUAUGAAGUUGAAAGAAAUUUUUUUUAUGAUUCUCGUUCAAUAGGUUAUUAUCUCGCCGCUAAUUAUAACGAUCCGCCGCCGGCUUAUAUAUAUGAUCCAUGGGCCAAUUUUCGUCAUCUUCGUCCUCUUCCUCUUCCUCGACCAACCAAGAAGCCACCUCGCCAUGGUUCUUGCCAUCUUCA